rnacentral:rRNA from 1 species
CGCGUAGGCGGGCUGUUUAGUCAGUGGUGAAAUCCCGAGGCUCAACCUCGGAAUUGCCUUUGAUACUGGCAGCCUUGAGUUCGAGAGAGGUGAGUGGAAUUCCGAGUGUAGAGGUGAAAUUCGUAGAUAUUCGGAGGAACACCAGUGGCGAAGGCGGCUCACUGGCUCGAUACUGACGCUGAGGUACGAAAGCGUGGGGAGCAAACA